rnacentral:rRNA from 1 species
UACGUAGGGGGCAAGCGUUGUCCGGAAUUAUUGGGCGUAAAGAGCGUGUAGGCGGUCCGGUAAGUCCGCUGUGAAAGCCCCCGGCUCAACUGGGGAGGGUCACGCGAUACUGGUCGACUCGAAGGCAGGAGAGGGUAGUGGAAUUCCCGGUGUAGUGGUGAAAUUCGUAGAUAUUCGGAAGAACACCAGUGGCGAAGGCGACUCACUGGACACGUAUUGACGCUGAGGUGCGAAAGCGUGGGGAGCAAACAGG